rnacentral:lncRNA from 1 species
UGUUUGUUUAUUUGUUAAUCACUUUGAUAUUGCUCUAUCUGUACUUGUCGAAAUAGAAUUUUUGCUUGCGUUAUGUGUUCAGAAGAUGCCGAAUGAAUUGUGCUACUAUUGUAUAUUUAGCUGUUGUUGAGUGUAUGUCGGAAUUUUGAGUCUCUGUUCUUCAAGGCAUGUCCAAAAACCUGAUUAUAUCUUGUUUUUUUUAUAAAUACAAUGUCUCAUAUUUGUCCCCUGGGGUCAUUUGUUGCUCACUGUUCUAGCUUCAAAAAAUAAAAUAAAAUGUGUGACUAUGAACCUUAUUGUCUUCUUUUACUUCUAGGCAUAAGUUGGUUUGUUUUAAUAUUGCUUAAUGGUCGAAAAUCUGGAAAUUGCAGUCUUUAACAUAGUUAUUCUUUUUUUUUCAUUUUUUUUUCUCAUCUUUGUAUUUGUAUUUGUUUUGGGGUAGAAAGCAUCUUCGUGAUCUGUGAUUCUCUAUAGUUUCAUGUAAGUUUAACUUCCAACUUUAGUUCGGGUUAACAAUACGUUUUGUUAUUUCUCGAUUUCAUUUAGGUGUAAGUGCCUUAAAAUCAGUCAAUAUAGUAUGUUCGUGUCACAUUGUGCGAUUGUGUUAUUGGUAGUUCAUUAAAUUUCCCUUGUAAUAUGUCUUUAUGUUCAUUGUUAUAGCUUUGGUGGUCUUUGUAUAUUUGAAACUAAUAUGCAUGAGUUUUUGAAAUUAUCUCUUGG